rnacentral:rRNA from 1 species
UACAGAGGGUGCGAGCGUUAAUCGGAAUUACUGGGCGUAAAGCGUACGCAGACGGUGAGAAAGGUCGGAUGUGAAAGCCCCGGGCUCAACCCGGGAACUGCAUCCGAAACCAUCUCGCUAGAGUAUGGGAGAGGGAAGCGGAAUUCCUGGUGUAGAGGUGAAAUUCGUAGAUAUCAGGAGGAACACCUGCGGCGAAGGCGGCUUCCUGGCCCAUUACUGACGUUCAGGUACGAAAGCGUGGGUAGCAAACAGG